UACAGAGGUCUCAAGCGUUGUUCGGAUUCAUUGGGCGUAAAGGGUGCGUAGGCGGCGCGGUAAGUCGGAUGUGAAAGCCCUCGGCUUAACUGAGGAAGUGCACCCGAAACUGGGUAGCUAGAGUACUAAAGAGGGUCGCGGAAUUCCCGGUGUAGAGGUGAAAUUCGUAGAUAUCGGGAGGAACACCGGUGGCGAAGGCGGCGACCUGGGUAGAUACUGACGCUGAGGCGCGAAAGCGUGGGGAGCAAACAGG
rnacentral:rRNA from 1 species